rnacentral:rRNA from 1 species
ACGAACGCUGGCGGCGUGCUUAACACAUGCAAGUCGAGCGGUAAGGCCUUUCGGGGUACACGAGCGGCGAACGGGUGAGUAACACGUGGGUGAUCUGCCCUGCACUCUGUGAUAAGCCUGGGAAACUGGGUCUAAUACUGGAUAUGACCUGCUCUCGCAUGGGGGUGGGUGGAAAGAUUUAUCGGUGCAGGAUGGGCCCGCGGCCUAUCAGCUUGUUGGUGGGGUAAUGGCCUACCAAGGCGACGACGGGUAGCCGACCUGAGAGGGUGAACGGCCACACGGGGACUGAGACACGGCCCAGACUCCGACGGGAGGCAGCAGGGGGGAAUAUUGCACAAUGGGCGGAAGCCUGAUGCAGCGACGCCGCGUGAGGGAUGAAGGCCGUCGGGUGGGAAACCGCUUGCGGCAGGGACGAAGCGUGAGUGACGGUACCUGCAGAAGAAGCACCGGCUAACUACGU